CGCACAUUGCGCCCUUUGGUAUUCCGAAGGGCAUGCCUGUUCGAGCGUCAUUUCACCUCCUCAAGCUCUGCUUGGAAUUAAAAGCUAUCGUUAUGAUACUUUUGAAAAACUUUGGCAGUCUGUCAAGCCUUAAACGUAGUCGAUUCUUUCGUUUGUUAGGCCGAAGCAGAUCUCGUCUGAUUUAUAUCAUUUUAAGGUUGACCUCGAAUCAGGUAGGAGUACCCGCUGAACUUAA
rnacentral:misc_RNA from 1 species